rnacentral:rRNA from 1 species
AUUGAACGCUGGCGGCAUGCUUUACACAUGCAAGUCGAACGGUAACAGGCCGCAAGGUGCUGACGAGUGGCGAACGGGUGAGUAAUGCAUCGGAACGUGCCCAGUCGUGGGGGAUAACGCAGCGAAAGCUGCGCUAAUACCGCAUACGAUCUAUGGAUGAAAGCGGGGGACCGUAAGGCCUCGCGCGAUUGGAGCGGCCGAUGUCAGAUUAGGUAGUUGGUGGGGUAAAGGCUCACCAAGCCGACGAUCUGUAGCUGGUCUGAGAGGACGACCAGCCACACUGGGACUGAGACACGGCCCAGACUCCUACGGGAGGCAGCAGUGGGGAAUUUUGGACAAUGGGCGCAAGCCUGAUCCAGCAAUGCCGCGUGCAGGAAGAAGGCCUUCGGGUUGUAAACUGCUUUUGUACGGAACGAAACGGCUCUGGUUAAUACCUGGGGCUAAUGACGGUACCGUAAGAAUAAGCACCGGCUAACUUCGUGCCAGCAGCCGCCGUAACAC